rnacentral:rRNA from 1 species
UACGUAGGGUGCAAGCGUUGUCCGGAUUUACUGGGCGUAAAGCGCGUGUAGGCGGCCCGUUAAGUGGGGUGUGAAAGCCCGGGGGCUCAACCCCGGGACGCCGCUCCAAACUGGCGGGCUUGAGGACGGAAGAGGGGAGUGGAAUUCCUGGUGUAGCGGUGAAAUGCGUAGAGAUCAGGAGGAACACCCGUGGCGAAGGCGGCUCCCUGGUCCGUCC